CAACGCCGCGUGAGUGAUGAAGACCUUAGGGUUGUAAAGCUCUGUCGGAGGGGAAGGAAAUAAAUGACGGUACCCUCCCAAGAAAAGACCCCGGCCUAACUACGUGC
rnacentral:rRNA from 1 species